rnacentral:rRNA from 1 species
CCUACGGGUGGCUGCAGUGAGGAAUAUUGGUCAAUGGACGAGAGUCUGAACCAGCCAAGUAGCGUGAAGGAUGCCUGCCCUAUGGGUUGUAAACUUCUUUUAUCUGGGAAUAAAAUGUUCCACGUGUGGGAUUUUGUCUGUACCUUAUGAAUACGUAUCGGCUAACUCCGUGCCAGCAGCCGCUGUAAUACGGAGGAUCCUAGCUUUAUCCGGAUUUAUUGGGUUUAAAGGGAGCGUAGGUGGAUUGUUAAGUCAGUUGUGAAAGUUUGCGGCUCAACCGUAAAAUUGCAGUUGAAACUGGCAGUCUUGAGUACAGGAGAGGUGGGCGGAAUUCGUGGUGUAGCGGUGAAAUGCUUAGAUAUCACGAAGAACUCCGAUUGCGAAGGCAGUUCACUGAACUGCAACUGACACUGAGGCUCGAAAGUGUGGGUAUCAAACAGGAUUAGAUACCCGAGUAGUC